rnacentral:rRNA from 1 species
GAUGAACGCUGGCGGCGUGCCUAAUACAUGCAAGUCGAGCGAACGGACGAGAAGCUUGCUUUUCUGAUGUUAGCGGCGGACGGGUGAGUAACACGUGGAUAACCUACCUAUAAGACUGGGAUAACUUCGGGAAACGGGAGCUAAUACCGGAUAAUAUCUUGAACCGCAUGGUUCAAAAGUGAAAGACGGUCUUGCUGUCACUUAUAGAUGGAUCCGCGCUGCAUUAGCUAGUUGGUAAGGUAACGGCUUACCAAGGCAACGAUGCAUAGCCGACCUGAGAGGGUGGUCGGCCACACUGGAACUGAGACACGGUCCAGACUCCUACGGGAGGCAGCAGUAGGGAAUCUUCCGCAAUGGGCGAAAGCCUGACGGAGCAACGCCGCGUGAGUGAUAAAGGUCUUCGGAUCGUAAAACUCUGUUAUUAGGGAAGAACAUAUGUGUAAGUAACUGUGCACAUCUUGACGGUACCUAAUCAGAAAGCCACGGCUAACUACGUG